rnacentral:lncRNA from 1 species
AUGGUGUGCUCUCUCAGGAUAAAAGACUCUCAACAAAUUCAAGGACCAGUGGAUUACUCAAGAAGGGAGACAAAAUAUGAGGCUAUUGAAAUACUCCUGACUCUGCCCUGCUGGAAUACAGCAGUUGUUCCUGAUAUAAUUGCUGUUGGCUUUUGCUGUUGGAAACACAACUCAUUUAGUUUUCAUUUGCUGGAAAUGCAGAUAUGGUUGAUGAAGGUUUUUUGUGUGGACCACCUCAUCAAUACAUCUAUAUGCGGAACUGAAGAGCUCCGUCAUGAACUCACCUUCAGAGCCAUGAGGCACACAGAACCACUGAAAACAAGCCUGCUUUGGAAUCUGAUCUGAGAGUUGUGAGGAGAGGGAGCUCCAUUGACCCCAUCUUAUCAGCCAGUUGGGCCAGAAAUUCAAUUUUAUAAGGAGGAAAAGAGUGAGAACCCAGCAACAAAGAGAAAUCAGAUUUGGGGUCACAUUUAAACUCUGCCUUUAAGAUUCACCUGAAGGUAAGUUUAUUCCAGAAGGUUUUAGCUAAAGUUGAGUUUCUUGAAACUUUCUGUUGAAAUCUGAUUGAUAUGGCCCUUACCUUUAUUUGCUUAUGAGUUCA